rnacentral:rRNA from 1 species
AGCGAACGCUGGCGGCAGGCUUAACACAUGCAAGUCGAGCGGGCGUAGCAAUACGUCAGCGGCAGACGGGUGAGUAACGCGUGGGAACAUACCUUUUGGUUCGGAACAACACAGGGAAACUUGUGCUAAUACCGGAUAAGCCCUUACGGGGAAAGAUUUAUCGCCGAAAGAUUGGCCCGCGUCUGAUUAGCUAGUUGGUGAGGUAACGGCUCACCAAGGCGACGAUCAGUAGCNGGUCUGAGAGGAUGAUCAGCCACAUUGGGACUGAGACACGGCCCAAACUCCUACGGGAGGCAGCAGUGGGGAAUAUUGGACAAUGGGCGCAAGCCUGAUCCAGCCAUGCCGCGUGAGUGAUGAAGGCCCUAGGGUUGUAAAGCUCUUUUGUGCGGGAAGAUAAUGACGGUACCGCAAGAAUAAGCCCCGGCUAACUUCGUGCCAGCAGCCGCCG